rnacentral:rRNA from 1 species
UGGGGAAUCUUCUGCAAUGGACGAAAGCCUGACGGAGCAACGCCGCGUGAGUGAUGAAGGUCUUCGGAUUGUAAAGCUCUGUUGAUCGUCACGAACGACCGUCUUGCUGGUAGGGAGAACUGUGACGGUAUCGUAAUAGAAAGGGACGGCUAACUACGUGCCAGCAGCCGCGGUAAUACGUAGGUCCCAAGCGUUGUCCGGAAUUAUUGGGCGUAAAGCGCGCGCAGGCGGAUAGAUCAGUCUGUCUUUAAAGGUCGGGGCUUAACCCUGGGACGCUUUGGAAACUGCUUAUCUUGAGUGUAGGAGAGGAAAGUGGAAUUCCAAGUGUAGCGGCGAAAUGCGUAGAUAUUUGGAAGAACACCAGUGGCGAAGGCGGCUUUCUGGAUGAAAACUGACGCUGAGGCUCGAAAGCCAGGGGAGCGAACGGGAUUAGAUACCCUGGUAGUCCUGGCCGUAAACUAUCANUGCUAGGUGUUAGACCCUUUCCGGGGUUUAGUGCCGCAGCUAACGCAUUAAGCACUCCGCCUGGGGAGUACGACCGCAAGGUUG